rnacentral:rRNA from 1 species
UGUGAGCUCGAUGAGUAGGGCGGGACACGUGGUAUCCUGUCUGAAUAUGGGGGGACCAUCCUCCAAGGCUAAAUACUCCUGACUGACCGAUAGUGAACCAGUACCGUGAGGGAAAGGCGAAAAGAACCCCGGCGAGGGGAGUGAAAAAGAACCUGAAACCGUGUACGUACAAGCAGUGGGAGCACGCUUAGGCGUGUGACUGCGUACCUUUUGUAUAAUGGGUCAGCGACUUAUAUUCUGUAGCAAGGUUAACCGAAUAGGGGAGCCGAAGGGAAACCGAGUCUUAACUGGGCGUUAAGUUGCAGGGUAUAGACCCGAAACCCGGUGAUCUAGCCAUGGGCAGGUUGAAGGUUGGGUAACACUAACUGGAGGACCGAACCGACUAAUGUUGAAAAAUUAGCGGAUGACUUGUGGCUGGGGGUGAAAGGCCAAUCAAACCGGGAGAUAGCUGGUUCUCCCCGAAAGCUAUUUAGGUAGCGCCUCGUGAAUUCAUCUCCGGGGGUAGAGCACUGUUUCGGCAAGGGGGUCAUCCCGACUUACCAACCCGAUGCAAACUGCGAAUACCGGAGAAUGUUAUCACGGGAGACACACGGCGGGUGCUAACGUCCGUCGUGAAGAGGGAAACAACCCAGACCGCCAGCUAAGGUCCCAAAGUCAUGGUUAAGUGGGAAACGAUGUGGGAAGGCCCAGACAGCCAGGAUGUUGGCUUAGAAGCAGCCAUCAUUUAAAGAAAGCGUAAUAGCUCACUGGUCGAGUCGGCCUGCGCGGAAGAUGUAACGGGGCUAAACCAUGCACCGAAGCUGCGGCAGCGACGCUUAUGCGUUGUUGGGUAGGGGAGCGUUCUGUAAGCCUGCGAAGGUGUGCUGUGAGGCAUGCUGGAGGUAUCAGAAGUGCGAAUGCUGACAUAAGUAACGAUAAAGCGGGUGAAAAGCCCGCUCGCCGGAAGACCAAGGGUUCCUGUCCAACGUUAAUCGGGGCAGGGUGAGUCGACCCCUAAGGCGAGGCCGAAAGGCGUAGUCGAUGGGAAACAGGUUAAUAUUCCUGUACUUGGUGUUACUGCGAAGGGGGGACGGAGAAGGCUAUGUUGGCCGGGCGACGGUUGUCCCGGUUUAAGCGUGUAGGCUGGUUUUCCAGGCAAAUCCGGAAAAUCAAGGCUGAGGCGUGAUGACGAGGCACUACGGUGCUGAAGCAACAAAUGCCCUGCUUCCAGGAAAAGCCUCUAAGCAUCAGGUAACAUCAAAUCGUACCCCAAACCGACACAGGUGGUCAGGUAGAGAAUACCAAGGCGCUUGAGAGAACUCGGGUGAAGGAACUAGGCAAAAUGGUGCCGUAACUUCGGGAGAAGGCACGCUGAUAUGUAGGUGA